AACUCGAUGUGCAGACGGAACACACCUCACAAACAGACACUUUCAGACUUCAGUGUGUUUUUCAGGCUGCAUUCAGUACUCAGGCUUGUGUACGGACUGACCUCUUGUGUACAGACAUCUGAAGGUAUCUGUGCAUCCCUGAUGGAGACAACACUGUACAGGAGGCCCGCGUGUCACCGUAUCACCAGAUCAAGGUUUUGUUCCCAGCCACAUCCCUCUGUCCAACCACAAUGUUCUCGAGACAGAUGGAGUUAUGCACAUCGACAGACAGCAGACGGUUCACAUGCCUCCAACAACCCAAACACGCCUAUAAACAUCUCUGAUCAUCAACAGAACACAGUUUACAUCUGUCAUCUAUCAAAACCCAACGUUCACCACAACACCACUUGUAACCAUGUGACUACAAGGUGUGGUACAUAAUGUUUUGUGUAAUUUCACCAGGUCAUGUACCAGGCACUGUUUCAACAAGCAACUGUUUCUCUCUCUCUCGCCUUGGAUUAACCAGAGCGAAAUUUCAAGAAUGUGAUUGAACACUUGUCUCGGCCGUUGACUGUGAAGUCAGUUUUAUUGUCUGACCUCAUGUGAGGGAACACUGUGUUCCAGACAAUAAAGUAGGUCACACAUCAUUAAACA
ensembl:lncRNA